AUUAACCACCAAAAAAGUAUGGAAGCAGAGCAAAAAAGUCAUUUAUAGGAUCAUGUUCACAAUAUACUAAUUUUAAUAAUCAUGUACCACAAGAUAUCCACAAAUGAUAAACCCAUGGAUGGCUAUUAUUAUAUCACCUGACAAGAGUGAAAAGAUUUUGCACAUACAAUACGGGCCCUGAUCAGCCGACUUUGGGUAUCAUAAUUGAGGAAUUCUCUAACCGAAGUUAGAGAACUUGCUCCUAUGAGCCCUGAAGAAGUUAGUAGCUGUCGUGAGAGACCUCAUUGUCUAAAAUGUAAGAACAAUCUCUAGAAGGCAAGAGCUGCCAUCGAGCCAUCAGUCAGCAAAUGGGACCAUAUUUGUACAGCCACAAAGAACUACAUUCCACCAAAAUCCUGCAAGAACGUGGAAGAGUACUGCAACGUUGAGAUAAUGUCCCAGCCCUGGUGACACCUAGAUUGCUGCUUUGGUAGAUCUUCAGGGUGCGGAUCCAUUAGAGGUGGGGCUGGAUAUCAAGUUGCAUAAAGCUAUUGAAUUUGUAGUCAUUUAUCACCACAGUAGAAAAUGAAUACAGAGGCUCCUGUCAUGAUUCUCUUGUGCUAAUCCCAGCAUCUGCUGCCCAUGGUCCAGGGUGUGUGGAAAUUUUAGACUAAUUACACAAGGGGUGUAGUGUGUACUGGUUUUCACUGGAUUUCUUAUUUCAUCAGGCCCCAGUUCUUGUAGUUUAUAUUAUUUGUUUUAUUAUGGACAGAGUGUCAGUAAUAGUUAUAAAUUUAUUUUUUAUGACCUUUA